rnacentral:rRNA from 1 species
CCUACGGGUGGCAGCAGUGGGGAAUAUUGGACAAUGGGCGAAAGCCUGAUCCAGCCAUGUCGCGUGUGUGAAGAAGGCCUUCGGGUUGUAAAGCACUUUCAGUGGGGAAGAAAGCCUUGGGGCUAAUACCCUCGAGGAAGGACAUCACCCACAGAAGAAGCACCGGCUAACUCCGUGCCAGCAGCCGCGGUAAUACGGAGGGUGCGAGCGGUAAUCGGAAUUACUGGGCGUAAAGCGCGCGUAGGCGGUCUGAUAAGCCGGUUGUGAAAGCCCCGGGCUCAACCUGGGAACGGCAUCCGGAACUGUCAGGCUAGAGUGCAGGAGAGGAAGGUAGAAUUCCCGGUGUAGCGGUGAAAUGCGUAGAGAUCGGGAGGAAUACCAGUGGCGAAGGCGGCCUUCUGGACUGACACUGACGCUGAGGUGCGAAAGCGUGGGUAGCAAACAGGAUUAGAUACCCGAGUAGUC